rnacentral:rRNA from 1 species
UACGUAGGAUCCAAGCGUUGUCCGGAUUUACUGGGUGUAAAGGGUGCGCAGGCGGACUUGUAAGUCAGGGGUGAAAUCUCACAGCUUAACUGUGAAACUGCCUUUGAUACUGCAAGUCUUGGAUCCAGAAGAGAGUUGUGGAAUUCCGAGUGUAGCAGUGAAAUGUGUAGAUAUUCGGAAGAACACCAGUGGCGAAGGCGACUACCUGGCCUGUUCUUGAGCGCUGGAGGCGCGAAAGCUAGGGGAGCAAACGGG